CCUCAUUCUCUAACAAGGGGCAAACUCUUUCUUAUCGCAACCACUUCCAAGUUCUACUAUAACUCUCCAAACUUUUGUGACUCUUGGUACAUCAAUGUUAACUGCAUCCAACUAUCGUCCCUAAAUCUUGUAUCAACAAAAAGCCAUAACAAAAGCGAGAAAGAGAAAAGACCGAGCAAAUCACAAAUGAAACAUCACAUCAGUAGUAGCAGUGAAGAAGAAUUGCAUUCGGAAUUAAAGUCAGACUAUACAGAAUCCAAGGCAGAGGCAACGAACGAACAAGCUAAGCUAUGAUAAGAAAUGACUUGCAUGCACAAAAUUGGCAACUUGGAGGUGAGGAUGUAGUGUUAGUUUUAUCUUGAAUUAUUUCAUGGGUAAUGAUUGGUUUAGUGUUGUAGUUUUAUAAUUACAGGAUGCAGCUAGCCAUACAAAAAACGGCUCUGUCCAGAUGUUGCUAUGCAAGGAGGAUAGCCAUAAGCCUAGAUGGAGGCUAACAAGUAACUGUUCCAAAUUCAUGAAUCCCAUUCCCCCACGUUGGCUAUCUAAAGAUGCUUUAAGAUCCAUCGGUUGUAAGCUUUAAGAAGUUGAAAUCUCCAUUUCCACAGACUCUCAAAAUCUUCGGAACGGGGUAAUUUGAGUUUUAAAAAAUUGUAAUUAUUUUAUUUGGUAUCAAUUUUCGAAUUUAAAUCAUGUUGGAAUUGUUUUAAAUUUAAGUUAUUUAAGUCAUUUCAUGUUCGAGAUACUUUUAAAUUGAAUAUUACGAUAAAUUUAAAUAUGGGUUGAACAUGUUUGAGUUAUUAUUAUUUUUAUAGGUUAAAUAAGUGAGUGAAA
rnacentral:lncRNA from 1 species